rnacentral:rRNA from 1 species
AUUGAACGCUAGCGGGAUGCUUUACACAUGCAAGUAUAACGAGUGGCGGACGGGUGAGUAAUAUAUCGGAACGUGCCCAGUAGCGGGGGAUAACUAAUCGAAAGAGGGGCUAUUACCGCAUAAUUUCGGAACGGCCGAUAGAGGACUAGCUAGUUGGUGGGGUAAAGGCUCACCAAGGCAACGAUCCGUAGCUGGUUUGAGAGGACUACCAGCCAUACUGGGACUGUGACACUGCCCAGACUCCUACGGGAGGCAGCAGUGGGGACUUUUGGACAAUGUGUGAAACCCUGAUCCUGCCAGCCCGCUUGUAUGAGAAGGCCUUCGGGUUGUAAAGUACUUUUGGCUGAGAAGCGGUAUCUGCAGAAUAAGCACCGGCUAACUACGUGCCAGCAGCCGCGGUAAUUC